GCCUGGGUGGCUUAGUCGGUUAAGUGUCUGACUUCGGCUCAGGUCAUGAUCUCAUGGUUCAUUGGUUUGAGUCCCAUGUUGGGCU
rnacentral:tRNA from 1 species